rnacentral:rRNA from 1 species
UACAGGGGGGCAAGCGUUGUUCGGAAUUACUGGGCGUAAAGGGUCUGUAGGUGGCCAACUAAGUCAGACGUGAAAUCCCUCAGCUUAACUGGGGAACUGCGUCUGAUACUGGAUGGCUUGAGUGUGGGAGAGGAAUGCGGAAUUCCAGGUGUAGCGGUGAAAUGCGUAGAGAUCGGGAGGAAGGCCGGUGGCGAAGGCGGCGCUCUGGAACAUUUCUGACGCUGAGGCUCGAAAGCGUGGGGAGCAAACAGGG